rnacentral:rRNA from 1 species
CCGCCUGGGGAGUACGACCCGCAAGGGUGAAACUCAAAGGAAUUGACGGGGGCCCGCACAAGCGGUGGAGUAUGUGGUUUAAUUCGACGCAACGCGAAGAACCUUACCAGGUCUUGACAUUGAUGGACAGAACUAGAGAUAGUUCCUCUUCUUCGGAAGCCAGAAAACAGGUGGUGCACGGUUGUCGUCAGCUCGUGUCGUGAGAUGUUGGGUUAAGUCCCGCAACGAGCGCAACCCCUAUCUUAUGUUGCCAGCACUUUGGGUGGGAACUCAUGAGAGACUGCCGCAGACAAUGCGGAGGAAGGCGGGGAUGACGUCAAAUCAUCAUGCCCCUUAUGACCUGGGCUACACACGUACUACAAUGGGAGUUAAUAGACGGAAGCAAUACCGCGAGGUGGAGCAAACCCGAGAAACACUCUCUCAGUUCGGAUCGUAGGCUGCAACUCGCCUACGUGAAGUCGGAAUCGCUAGUAAUCGCAGGUCAGCAUACUGCGGUGAAUACGUUCCCCGGCCUUGCACACACCGCCCGUCGGCACUCUCCGUCCGUCUGCACUC